rnacentral:rRNA from 1 species
GACGAACGCUGGCGGCGUGCUUAACACAUGCAAGUCGAACGGAAAGGCCCUGCUUUUGUGGGGUGCUCGAGUGGCGAACGGGUGAGUAACACGUGAGUAACCUGCCCUUGACUUUGGGAUAACUUCAGGAAACUGGGGCUAAUACCGGAUAGGAGCUCCUGCUGCAUGGUGGGGGUUGGAAAGUUUCGGCGGUUGGGGAUGGACUCGCGGCUUAUCAGCUUGUUGGUGGGGUAGUGGCUUACUAAGGCUUUGACGGGUAGCCGGCCUGGGAGGGUGACCGGCCACAUUGGGACUGAGAUACGGCCCAGACUCCUACGGGAGGCAGAAGUGGGGAAUAUUGCACAAUGGGCGGAAGCCUGAUGCAGCAACGCCGCGUGCGGGAUGACGGCCUUCGGGUUGUAAACCGCUUUCGCCUGUGACGAAGCGUGAGUGACGGUAAUGGGUAAAGAAGCACCGGCUAACUACGUG